rnacentral:rRNA from 1 species
AGAACGAACGCUGGCGGCAGGCUUAACACAUGCAAGUCGAACGCCCCGCAAGGGGAGUGGCAGACGGGUGAGUAACGCGUGGGAACGUGCCCUAAGGUACGGAACAACUCCGGGAAACUGGAGCUAAUACCGUAUGUGCCCGAAAGGGGAAGAUUUAUCGCCUUGGGAUCGGCCCGCGUCUGAUUAGCUAGUUGGUAGGUAACGCUACCAAGGCUACGAUCAGUAGCU